GAUGAACGCUGGCGGCGUGCCUAAUACAUGCAAGUCGAGCGAACGGACGAGAAGCUUGCUUUUCUGAUGUUAGCGGCGGACGGGUGAGUAACACGUGGAUAACCUACCUAUAAGACUGGGAUAACUUCGGGAAACCGGAGCUAAUACCGGAUAAUAUUUUGAACCGCAUGGUUCAAAAGUGAAAGACGGUCUUGCUGUCACUUAUAGAUGGAUCCGCGCUGCAUUAGCUAGUUGGUAAGGUAACGGCUUACCAAGGCAACGAUGCAUAGCCGACCUGAGAGGGUGAUCGGCCACACUGGAACUGAGACACGGUCCAGACUCCUACGGGAGGCAGCAGUAGGGAAUCUUCCGCAAUGGGCGAAAGCCUGACGGAGCAACGCCGCGUGAGUGAUGAAGGUCUUCGGAUCGUAAAACUCUGUUAUUAGGGAAGAACAUAUGUGUAAGUAACUGUGCACAUCUUGACGGUACCUAAUCAGAAAGCCACGGCUAACUACGUGCCAGCAGCCGCGGUAAUACGUAGGUGGCAAGCGUUAUCCGGAAUUAUUGGGCGUAAAGCGCGCGUAGGCGGUUUUUUAAGUCUGAUGUGAAAGCCCACGGCUCAACCGUGGAGGGUCAUUGGAAACUGGAAAACUUGAGUGCAGAAGAGGAAAGUGGAAUUCCAUGUGUAGCGGUGAAAUGCGCAGAGAUGUGGAGGAACACCAGUGGCGAAGGCGACUUUCUGGUCUGUAACUGACGCUGAUGUGCGAAAGCGUGGGGAUCAAACAGGAUUAGAUACCCUGGUAGUCCACGCCGUAAACGAUGAGUGCUAAGUGUUAGGGGGUUUCCGCCCCUUAGUGCUGCAGCUAACGCAUUAAGCACUCCGCCUGGGGAGUACGACCGCAAGGUUGAAACUCAAAGGAAUUGACGGGGGCCCGCACAAGCGGUGGAGCAUGUGGUUUAAUUCGAAGCAACGCGAAGAACCUUACCAAAUCUUGACAUCCUUUGACAACUCUAGAGAUAGAGCCUUCCCCUUCGGGGGACAAAGUGACAGGUGGUGCGUGGUUGUCGUCAGCUCGUGUCGUGAGAUGUUGGGUUAAGUCCCGCAACGAGCGCAACCCUUAAGCUUAGUUGCCAUCAUUAAGUUGGGCACUCUAAGUUGACUGCCGGUGACAAACCGGAGGAAGGUGGGGAUGACGUCAAAUCAUCAUGCCCCUUAUGAUUUGGGCUACACACGUGCUACAAUGGACAAUACAAAGGGCAGCGAAACCGCGAGGUCAAGCAAAUCCCAUAAAGUUGUUCUCAGUUCGGAUUGUAGUCUGCAACUCGACUACAUGAAGCUGGAAUCGCUAGUAAUCGUAGAUCAGCAUGCUACGGUGAAUACGUUCCCGGGUCU
rnacentral:rRNA from 1 species